rnacentral:rRNA from 1 species
AUUGAACGCUGGCGGCAGGCCUAACACAUGCAAGUCGAGCGGAUGAAGGGAGCUUGCUCCUGGAUUCAGCGGCGGACGGGUGAGUAAUGCCUAGGAAUCUGCCUGGUAGUGGGGGAUAACGUCCGGAAACGGGCGCUAAUACCGCAUACGUCCUGAGGGAGAAAGUGGGGGAUCUUCGGACCUCACGCUAUCAGAUGAGCCUAGGUCGGAUUAGCUAGUUGGUGGGGUAAAGGCCUACCAAGGCGACGAUCCGUAACUGGUCUGAGAGGAUGAUCAGUCACAUGGAAACUGAGACGGGUUCCACCCCCCUACGGGGGGCAGCAGGGGGGAAUUUGGGAAAAGGGGGGAAAGCCUGAUCCAGCCAGCCCGGGGGGGUAAAGAAGUUUUUCGGUUUGAAAACCACUUUAAGUUGGGAGGAAGGGAAGAAAGUUAAUACCUUGUUUUUUUGACUUUACCAACAGAAAAAGCCCCGGCUAACUUCG